rnacentral:snoRNA from 1 species
CCCUCCUACAAAGACAUGUCUAUAGUUCCUUGUCUAUGGAUGUGCAAAAAUUAGAGGCAAAAAAAUGUGGAUGUGGAAAUGUCUGGGGCAGCCUGUUCCCCAUGG